ensembl:lncRNA LINC01287 long intergenic non-protein coding RNA 1287
GCGACUUCCCUGGCCCUCCCCCUGCGGACCAGUGAACCUCGCCCGAGGGCUCAAUAAAGAAGAUUUUUGCCCUCUUUUUCUCACCUCUCAGCCUUAUUGAUCCAUGGUGCCCUUCCAUUGCCUUUCAUUGGUGCCGAAACCCGGGAGGGGACACCUCCUAAGCCCCCCCAGAGGCUCAGGGGGACUCCCCUCCUGGUCGGAUCAGUCCUCUCCCUCAGUCAGGUCAGGCUUCUCCUCCACGGCCAUCUGUCCAUUUCGUCCGGUUACUUGCUGCCAGGUCGCAGUUGCUGCAGCUACUCCAGUCCAAUUCGGCCGACGCUAGAGACAAAUGAAGACACUCGACCAUCUCUAAAUGCUACCAAACACAUAGAGUCUACUCUGAAUGCAGAUACUGCUCUCAUAAAAAUUCUGCAAAGGAGGAAGGGGUUGGUGCAGAACUGUUCCGAUGCUGGAAAAUGGGAUGUCAUCAAAGCCCUUUGAGAAAAGGAGGGAUGUGAUCAGAUUUGUAAUUUUCAAAGAUUUCCUGAGGUGCUGUGAAUUUUACAGAUCAACUGAGAUGCAAAACCCAUGUUCACAUCAUGAGUGAGUCUUCUAACUCGGACAAUGCAAUCAACAAAUUCUAAGACCAAAUUCCGGUGGCACUGGCUCCAAAGGCCCCAGGGAAAAUAAACUAAUCAAGACUACUUUAAUUUUUUAAAUAUGAAACCUGCGGAAAAUCAUGAAAAAUAGUAACACAAUUCCACCAUUUUCUACGAAAAAAUACUGAAAGGGUUAUUAACUUGAAUGUCCAAUAGACAGCUGAAUUAGAUAUGAAGUUGCAUAAAGAGAGUAGCCAAAUCAAAAUAUAUAAGUUUUAAAAGGCAAUAUCCAGGACUUCAAACAUGGAAAGAGUUACACGAGAGAAAAGAGGAUUUUGAGAGAUUGCUGCUUCAUUUGCAUGCUCAGCAAAACCUCACGGAGCACUGACGUUUUGAGUCAUCCCUCUAAUCAUCUAGCAUCCAACGCUCCUGAGUGUGGAAGGAGGUGAACAGGGAAAAGCAGAGAGGACAAAAGUCACAUCCCCUCCCCACAGACCCAUACUGGGGAAGGGUGGAAGAUUUAGCUGCGAGUCAAGUUCAGAAUUUUGAUUAACAUCUUGGCAUGCACAUUCGAAUUUCAGAAUCAAGACUGUUGGCCAUAAAAAAUGACUAUAGCCUUGUGUAUUACCUGAACUGAGCAGUAAAAAAAAAGUCAUGGUCCUUCUGGGGCUUUUAUUCUGAGACAGGAACCCUGAACAGGCAGGAGAAAGGGAAUGUUGACAGAGAAACAAAGACAGUUGGCGACACACGCUGACCGCCAUGCGGACGUCCAUCAAACCCAGCACUGGCCCUGGGUACGUGCGCCUUUGCUAUUACCCCAAUACAUUUUCUUCUGCAGAGCAAGCAACAGAACACAUGCAGACCUUAAUAAAUACCACUGGGUAAUGUGACAAUGGCCAAACUCUCCUCACGGGGGAGAGAGUGUCCCCCAGUUUUGCUCCCUUUUAAUUUCCAGGGUUCAUAAGUAGCUCUAAAGCUUUGCUCUACAAGGUUGAUACAUACGAUAUUAAUGUUUCCCCUAAGCAGUAUAACAUAAAUAUAUUUGCUAUCUUGA